rnacentral:lncRNA from 1 species
AUCUCCUGCCCCGCCGAGGCUUGACCCGUGCUGUCCCCCUCUCCCUUCCUUUGCCCACCGAUUGGAGGGACACUCUGGAAAACUCAGUUGAAGAAAGCGGAGAGUCUGCGUGUACACAGUGCAAUGAUGUCAGUUAAUGCACUAGUGAGGGCAUGUGUUUUUCACGGGGUACACAGAAGAAGGAACCACCAGCCCUUGGGACACUUAGGCAUUGGUGUAGACAAGGGAACAUUUGAGUCCUGGAGGAUGGAUAGGUCCACGGAGCGGAGGGAGGAGAAAAGGAUUCCAGUCUUAGCGAUCAGCAUCAGCAAAGGCUCCGAGGUGCCAGAGGCAUAGUGAGUUCUCCGAUCCCUGGCUGGUGGAGGGAAGCUGGGAAGGGCCUGGCUGUCCAGGGUGGUGGGAGGAGGCUAGAGUAGCCAGACCAGAUAUUUUGGGUUGUCUCUGAUGGGCAGUGGGGUGUGGGGGGGAGGUAGAUAGGUAUUUAGGAUGGAAUUCUGCUAGACAGGAAAAUAUAGUUCAGUUCCUCAUAGUUCAGGCUGGAGCAAGUAAGAUUCCAGUUUUACCACUGAAUCUCUGAGCCUGUCUCCUCAUCUGUAAAAUGGGAACAGCAAUCCUAGCCCAGAGGGUUGUCAAAGUCACUGUGCUAUCGGGCCUGGCGGAAUGGGAGUGAGAGGGGCUCAGAGGGACUGUUACAGGACAUGAGGUGACGAUGGUGGGGUGGCAAGGCAGGAGCUGAUGGAGACUCACUGAGAAGUGGAGAAGCAAGAUUCAUCACAUAUGGGACAUAAAGGGAGAUGGAGGGGCAGGGGGUAGUCCUGGUCUCGGCCUGGGGGGGAAGGGCUUCAAUGGGAGGAAGCCAGGGUGUGAAGUGACGGGGGAGGUAUAGUGUGACACCAGAGGGUACUGAGAAAGACCUGGGAGGCAGGAUGGCAGCUAGGACUAAAUCCUCUCUCCCAGAGAAGGCCGAGCCUCCUAGAGCCAGAGAAGGAGGCAGAGGAGGGACAGCAAAGGGAAGAAGAGAUGGGAAGAUGCCGUGUGAACAAAGCCAAGGCGGGGAGGAGAAGAAGUUAUUAUCAGGGUGGGGGUGGGCUGAGGGCAUGGUUCAAGGCCUGAUGUCUUUGCCUCCUAAUGCCGGGGGUCUUGCUGGCUGGGUCAGGCCACUCACAGGAAUGGGCCAUAAUCCUUGGUUGACAAUAAAUGGACAAAGCAGCUGGGUGCGGUGGCUCAUGCCUGUAAUCCCAACACUUUGGGAGGCCAAGGUGGGCGGAUCACGAGGUCAGGAGUUCGAGACCAGCCUAGCCAACAUAGUGAAACCCCGUCUCAACUAAAAACACAAAAAAUUAGCUGAGCGUGGUGCGGGCACCUGUAAUCUCAGCUACUCGGGAGGCUGAGGCAGAAGAAUUGCUUGAACUCAGGAGGCGGAGGUUGCAGUGACGAGAGAAUGUGCCACUGCACUCCAGCCUGGGCAACAGAGUGAGACUCUGUCAAAAAAAAAAAAAAAAUGGAUAAAGCAGAUUGACUCUCCCUAAUAGCCGCUGUUGGUAGAGAUAGUUUCUCAAGAGCCAGGCAUGGUGGUUCACACGGUGGUUCACAAAGUGCUGGUAAUCCCAGCACUUUGGAAGGCUGAGAUGGGAGGAUCGCUUGAGGCCAGCAGUUCGAGACCAGCCUGAUCAAUAUAGCAAGACCAGGACAGGCGCGGUGGCUCACGCCUGUAAUCCCAGCACUUUGGGAGGCCAAGGCAGGGGGAUCACGAGGUCAGGAGUUCAAGACCAGCCUGGCCAACAUAGUGAAACCCCGUCUCCACUAAAAUAAAUAAAUACAAAAAAUAUAUAUAGCAAGACCCCCCCUCUAAAAAAAAAAAAAAAAAAAAAAAAAGGCUGGGCACGAGAAUCACUUGAGCCUGGGAGGAGGAGGUUGCAGUGAGCCAAGAUUGCGCCACUGCACUCCAGCCUGGGCAACAGGGAGACUCCAUCUCAAAAAAAAAAAAAAAAAAAAAAAGGUCUCUCAAAAUAGUGCGAUCCAUGGAGGAAAAUCAGUCCAAGUUCGGCAAGUAUUUGUCGGUAUCCUGUAUGAGCUAGGCCUUGGGUACUUCAAGAUCAAACAACAAAUGUCUGUAGGUCAUUCCCAGGUCAGCAGGGAGCCAGAUGGGUCAGCAGGGAGACAGUCACAUUAGGAGUUAGGGCUUCAGUAGGGAGGCAGGUGGGUCUCAGGUGAUGUCAAGAGAUCUUGGUCAGAGCUAGGCCUGAAGAAGAUUCUGGUAUCUCUGCUCAGGAAUCAGGGGACCAGGAAGGGCCAUGAGACUACAUUGGGGUUGCACUAUGGUGGUGGUGUUGGUGGGAGGGUGUAGAGGCGGGGCUUGUCCUGGAAAGUUGGAUAUCAGGGUCAAGGUAAGGGGAGAGGGGCAGGGAGGCUCUCAGCACUUUGUGCUCUGGGUUCAGAGGGGACUGGAGGAUAGAGUAUGGAAGCAGGGAGCUCUGAUCCUGGGUUCUGCACGGCCAAAGCAGGAGGCAGAAGGCUGGACUUAGUAAGUGGUGAGGAUGGUGAGAGAAAUAUUCAGGAGUCAGACUGGAAAGGACUUGUCUGCAAGCUGGGUGUGGAGUAUCAGCAUCAAUCCUAGGUUUUUCUGCCUGGUUAGGUGGGGAAGCAGAUUUGAGAGAAAGACCUUAGUUUGGAUAAACGGAGUCUGAACUCGCCUCGGAUUUGCCGGGGGUGGAGCUCAGGACGUCCUGGUUGGGGAGGGCAUUCAGAGAGUAGAUGCCAGUCCUGGGAAAGGCAGGGGAGGAGAGGAGAGCCACGGCUGACGCUUGGGGACAGAAGGAGGAGCCUGAGGAGGAGACAGGACAGAGCGUCUGGAGAGGCAGGAGGACACCGAGUUCCCCGUGUUGGCCUCCAGGUCCUGUGCUUGCGGAGCCGUCUGGCGGCUGGGAUCGAGCCCCGACAAUGGGCAACGCGCAGGAGCGGCCGUCAGAGACUAUCGACCGCGAGCGGAAACGCCUGGUCGAGACGCUGCAGGCGGACUCGGGGACUGCUGUUGGACGCGCUGCU